GCAAUUUAAUCAAUCAAGUGCGUCGCAGUUUUAUUAAUCUGCGACGCAAAUGACUCUGAGAACAUCUUAGAGUCAUUUGCCUCGCAGUUUAAUAAAGCUGCGACGCACAGGUGUUUGUGAAUUUAAUUUUUUCUCAAAUUCGCGCUCACCUUUUAAUUGUUUUCUUCAAUAUUCUGACUUGCUCCAAAUGACCUAAAUCUAUCGAAACCAGUUAAGCCCAAAACAUCCGUUCUCACCGGCUUCACCCUUCCGUUUACCAGCUUCACUGCCGUCGUCUUCCCUCCUUCUGCGUCGUUCUCUCCUUCCCCUGCGCCGUUCAACUUGUUGUUCGUUCUCCUCUUCAACCUGCUGCUCGUUCUCUUCUUCCCCUGCGUCGUUCAACUCAAACUAAUCAGUGUCGCUGCUCCGUGUUAACGCCGCCUUCCACGGCAGCCGCCCACGCCGCCGCCCACUCCUCCGCUCCUGGUCACUGUCUUCUCUCCUCUCCUAGGUAAAGAGCUUCACUAUUAUUUUCUGUUAUGUUAAAUACUAGAUGUUGUUAAGGUCCCGUAAGGAUUUUCAUGUGGUUGCCACAGAAGCUGUUUGGUAAUAUGUGCUUGAAUAUUACGUAUACUACCUCCGUAGAUGCUGAAGAUAACAUACAAGAGUUGUUUGUGUUAGGUGUAGAAGCAAUCCCGGAUUGACAGAGGUUUCCUCUAGUUCUGUUGGCUUCUCCUUUUUGUGUUCUUGUUUUAUUUAUUUUCUUCAAAUUUUGUGAAGACUUAACAAAAGAUAGUUGUCGAACACUUGCAUAUCAUUGCAUUGAACAUGAUCGAACACUGUAAUUUUCAAUUGUUGUUGGUAAUUAGAUCACGAAACUGGUGAUUUGGCAAUUAGACAUGUAACCAAUGUAUAAAUUUCGUAGUUAUGAAGUGGACUCGGAGCAGUUGUCUUGGCAUAUGCUCCUUUUGGUGAUUAAAGUUUCUACACGACCUUUCUUUCUGUGGCAAUUUGGAAUUACUUAUUAGUUACAAUCGUUGUCAGAAACUCUGUGGAGUUGGAUGUUUUAAUAGUGAUUUAUCGCUUUUUAAAUUGGAGUUCACUCUUUGAAUAAUCUAUAAUAUGUAGACAGGGCACUGACGUGUCUCUGAAGGAUCUUGACUACCUUUUGUCUCUACUUGAGGAAAAGAAGAGAAAGAUGGCCGGAGCAAGAAGAAGCUAGGGUUUGAAGCCAGUAAACUCGCUAAGAAUACAAGGAAAUGGUUAAGAUUGAAGCCAGUAAACUCGCUAAGAAGCAUCCACGUGUCUUGCAGAUGGAAUGAGCUACUAGGACGGUGGUUGACUGGUACUUUCAUUCCGGCAGAAAUAUUAAAAGUACAAGAGGUUGUGUCAAUGAGAUCAAUCAGUAUAUUUCGCAACAUAAUCAGCUUUUGUUGGAUCACAUAACUGACCUUUGGAGCUCUCUGAUGCCCAGUUUGUGUUCUGUGAUGUUUACCAAGGCUUCAUGCGUAUCUUGUCCAACCCUAAACACUAUGGCAUCAAGGAAACAAGAGGAGCAUGUUGUGGAAUAGGGUGGCAUGGAGCAGCAUCGGGGUGCGACACCAUGGAGAUGGUUUGCAACCAAAGUACAGCUCAUGUAAUCCUUCUAAGGCCGUCAAUUAUCUGCUGGCCGACUCUGCCUGGUUCGGUCAUCCAUUGGGUGACA